GACGAACGCUGGCGGCGUGCUUAAUACAUGCAAGUCGAACGGAAAGGCCCUGCUUUUGUGGGGUGCUCGAGUGGCGAACGGGUGAGUAACACGCGAGUAACCUGCCCUUGACUUUGGGAUAACUCCAGGAAACUGGGGCUAAUACCGGAUAUGAGCUCCUGCUGCAUGGGGGGGGUUGGAAAAUUUCGGCGGUUGGGGCUGGACUCGCGGCUUAUCAGCCUGUUGGUGGGGUAGUGGCUUACCAAGGGUUUGACGGGUAGGCGGCCUGAGAGGGUGGCCGGGGACAAUGGGACUAAGCGACGGCGCAGACUGCAACGGGAGGCAGUGGUGGAAAGUAUGGCACAGUGGGGGGAAGCCUGAGGCAGAGACGCCGCGUGCGGGAUGACGGCUUUCGAGUUGUGAACCGAUUUCGCCUGUAACGAGGCGUGAUUGACGGUAAUGGGUAAAGAAGCACCGGCUAACUACGUG
rnacentral:rRNA from 1 species